ensembl:lncRNA
UGCCUAGAAAUUAUUUCUCAUCUAAAGUACCAUAAGUGUCUUAAAGUCUCCUUUUCUAUAGAUAUCCAGUAGGGCCUAGCACAGUAACUAGAAAACUGUAGAUGUUCAAUAAAUGUUCGUUACCUUGACCAUAUCAAUAAAAGCAAACGACAAUAAACUGAUCCUCUCCGCAGGGCAAGCCGUGCCUCAGCAGGAACUACGUGAAUGGACAAAAACCCUGCACACAUGUAAAUGUAUACUCUCCCCCUGAGAAGAGGCAAAGAAUGAGAAUUGUGGAUAUCCCGAGUAUGCAAGCAGUAGCAAGAAAAAGAUUUGAAAAGUAGAACUGUGGCAGGGAGAUGGAUUAGCAGGCAAAGGGACUUGCCACCACCCCUGGCAAUCCGACUUCGAUCCCUGAACCCAGAGUGGUGAACCAAGAGAGCAGAUUCCUGAGUAUUGGCUUUCAAGUGUAUCAACGUCUUCGUUUUCCUCACAGUUUUAUGGAAGUAGC